rnacentral:rRNA from 1 species
UACUUAGGGUUCGAUCGUUAAUCGGAAUUACUGGGCGUAAAGCGUGCGCAGGCGGCUUUACAAGACAGAUGUGAAAUCCCCGGGCUCAACCUGGGAACUGCAUUUGUGACUGCAAGGCUAGAGUACGGCAGAGGGGGAUGGAAUUCCGCGUGUAGCAGUGAAAUGCGUAGAUAUGCGGAGGAACACCAAUGGCGAAGGCAAUCCCCUGGGCCUGUACUGACGCUCAUGCACGAAAGCGUGGGGAGCAAACAGG